GACGAACGCUGGCGGUGUGCCUAAUACAUGCAAGUCGAACGCUUCUUUCCUCCCGAGUGCUUGCACUCCAUUGGAAAGAGGAGUGGCGGACGGGUGAGUAACACGUGGGUAACCUACCCAUCAGAGGGGGAUAACACUUGGAAACAGGUGCUAAUACCGCAUAACAGUUUAUGCCGCAUGGCAUAAGAGUGAAAGGCGCUUUCGGGUGUCGUUGAUGGAUGGACCCGCGGUGCAUUAGCUAGUUGGUGAGGUAACGGCUCACCAAGGCCACGAUGCAUAGCCGACCUGAGAGGGUGAUCGGCCACACUGGGACUGAGACACGGCCCAGACUCCUACGGGAGGCAGCAGUAGGGAAUCUUCGGCAAUGGACGAAAGUCUGACCGAGCAACGCCGCGUGAGUGAAGAAGGUUUUCGGAUCGUAAAACUCUGUUGUUAGAGAAGAACAAGGACGUUAGUAACUGAACGUCCCCUGACGGUAUCUAACCAGAAAGCCACGGCUAACUACGUG
rnacentral:rRNA from 1 species